rnacentral:lncRNA from 1 species
GCGAACACCAAAGAAAUAGGCACCAAACAAAUGUCAGAAAAGAGAGCAUUCCAUAUCAAAAGAGUUACGACGACCCUUGUCCACGAGAGCCAACAACAUCAUCUGUCAACAGUUUGCACACAUCUAACAACGUUACUCCUGUCAAAGCCAAAAGGGCAAACACUAUUCGGGGACAUCAAAUGCUGAUAUACAAAGUGGAAGAAGUUUUCUCAACACAAUUGGCAAAACACUCAUGUUAGUUCACUCGCAUCACUUCUUUGAAAAAAGUAUUUUCAGCGAAAGCAGCUCAACGAGGAUUGUAGGUCACGACAUCGUAUUAAGCAGCAGCAUUCCUGGCACCACGAGAUUGUGCUGACAGGGCCCCUGGAAAUUUACAUGUGGAUCUUCGAUUGCAGAUACAUUUGAUUCUCUUUUCCUUGUGAAACUUCCCAGCAUGUAAGGAGAGAUGGGGAAGCAAAAAGAUUUCAACAUCUGGUAUGUCAAAUGAUGGUGUGGUCAGGGAGCAAUUAGUUGAGGCUACAUUCCUGGACCAAAAAUAAGAAUAGAAAAUCAAGUUAAGAACUCAGAUAGCACUGCGGAACCUACAAAGAGAGGCCAACGAAAUAAAAUAUGCGGAAGUCAAUAAAUAUGAGAUAAAGCAAUGGGAUAUAAAUACGUGUAAAUGAAUACACUGCAUAUGGACAUGCUACAGAUCACCUAAAAAAUAUUCAGCAUCACGUAAAGUUAUGGAGACUUUUUGCGAAUCAAGUACAAAUGUUUAAUGGCAUAUAUCAAAAGACCUAAGAGGAAAGUUGUGACAAACAGCCUGCCUAACAGAAACGAUAUCAGCAAUUUAGCAUUGGAGUUGCAAUGUUCUACAACAUGCACUCUUAAGUAGAAAACACAGAACGCUCUUCUGGGUUCUGAAGCUACAUGAUCCCCACCAAUAAGGAACAAGUGAAUGCAGCAUGACCAUGCCAGUUCUCCUUUCGAAUCUAACCUCCAUUAGCAUACGGCCGUGCCCCACAAACUAGCUAAAACUAUGAUUUGUGUUGUUACAUUGUUUAUUUGGUUCCCAGUAGCUCAAGCUCUAGCAUAUCCACAUAGCCACCAAUGACAUCAAUUAUGCUGAAUCUAGUAUCACUAACCUUGCAACAGUGCAGCUCCCUUCAGUCGCCUCUGACGGUGCCUCCACACGACCUGGAUAUGGAUUGCUG